AUUGAACGCUGGCGGCAGGCCUAACACAUGCAAGUCGAGCGGAGCGGCGGACGGGUGAGUAAUGCCUAGGGAUCUGCCUGGUAGUGGGGGAUAACUUCCGGAAACGGGCGCUAAUACCGCAUACUAUCAGAUGAGCCUCGGUCGUAUUAGCUAGUUGGUGGGGUAAAGGCCUACCAAGGCGACGAUCCGAAACUGGUCUGAGAGGAUGAUCAGUCACACUGGUACUGAGACACGGCCCAGACGCCUACGGGAGGCAGCAGUGGGGAAUAUUCGACAAUGGGCGAAAGCCUGAUCCAGCAAUGCCGCGUGUGUGAAGAAGGUUUUCGGAUUGUAAAGCUCUUUAAGUUGGGAGGCGUUAGCAACAGAAUAAGCACCGGCUAACUUCGUGCCAGCAGCCGCGGUAAUAC
rnacentral:rRNA from 1 species